GUCCGGCGGAGCCUGGCCUCCGUGUUUUUCUUUCCACAACAUGUUUUGUUCAAGAAAUGUAACACUUUGUGCUGCUAUGUGGCUGGGCAGCGCUCCUGCCCGAUGUAUCAAAAUGUUUUGUGACUCUUUGAACUGUGUGACCUUUCAGGAAUGUUCUGUUAACUCCGCCCCUGCAUCUAUGAGCAUGCUCGCCCGCUAUGCCCUUCAGGAAUGUUCUGUGACUCCGCCCCCCCUUCAGUGAGCAUGCUCCCCUAUGCCAUUGACCCUUAUAUAAGGAGGCUCCUGGUUCUAGUCAAGCAUUCUGAGAUGCCCCCCAGAACAGAAACCACCUCUUUGAGAAACCUUUGGAUUUUCAAGUCUUCAAAUUGGGAUAGCUGCGACCCAGAGCUGUAACACUGAGCUAUGCCUCAGCGGCGGCCCUCGGCUGUGAGGCUGAGCUGUAACACUUGGCUAUAUCUUGAGCUGUCCAGCUUUUCAGCUGCGACCCGGAGCUGUAACGCUUAGCUGUGCCUCAGCAGCGGCCCUCGGCUGUGAGGCUGAGCUGUUCCACUUGGCUAUAUCUUGAGCUGUCCGGCUUUGCAGCUGCGACCCGGAGCUGUAACACUUAGCUGUGCCUCAGCGGCGGCCCUCGGCUGUGAGGCUGAGCUGUAACACUUGGCUAUAUCUUCAGCUGUCCGGCUUUGCAGCUGCGACCCGGAGCUGUAACACUUAGCUGUGCUUCAGCAGCGGCCCUCGGCUGUGAGGCUGAGCUGUUCCACUUUGCAGCUGCGACCCAGAGCUGUAGCACUCAGCUGUGCCUCAGCGGCGGCCCUCAGCUGUGACACUGAGCUGUAACACUUGGCUAUAGCGCUGAGAUGUCUAGCUUUGCCGCAUCACCGGGCCAGACCGCCUGUCAGGAAUGCAGCCCAACGCCUUCAUCCCACUGACUGAACUCAACGCCGGUUUUCCAGAACCUCGCGAUGUUUCCAGUUCUCUCCACAAGUCCUGUGGUGCCACGACAAGGGACCCAGGGCCCGGCAGGAGCAACUCCCAAACCCCUGUCAGGUGGUCGUCCUGGCCAGGGCCUCAGCCUCCUGUCUGCCUGUUGCUGCCUGGGACUGACCACAGGACACUCAGAUGGCACUGCAGCAGGUUGUGCGGAUCAGCUGCUUCCUGGAGCUUUAGCACCCACACCUCAGAGGGCUCCAGCAGCACUCUCCAGCACUGGCAGGGGCUCCUCAGGGCCUGCGCUGGGGUCAUCUUCCGCAGGUAGAUGGUGGUGUCUUGGAAGCCCACCACACAGAAGACCUGAAGAUUCAGCAACCAGGUCUCGGCCUCUGCAGGCUCCACUGGCCACAUGGUGCCCAGCUCCAGCACCAUGGGCUCCACCGGGGACAGAGUCACUCGGGGGAACACUGGCUUUGGAGGAGGGGGGGGGCUCGGCCAGUGGUUGCAGGCAGGAAGCCCAUCAAACCUCCAGGGAAGGGCCUGGGUCCAGUCAGCCUGCUCCGGGCCCAGGCCUAGGGGCACUGCACUUUGAGGCUCCAGCUCAGUGGGCACCAUGGGGUCAUCCAGGUAUUCUUCCUCCAUCCCCACUGAGGCUGGCACCAGUGCCCAGGACCCCCAGCCAGGCCCAGGCCCAGGCCCAGGCCCNNNNNNNNNNNNNNNNNNNNNNNNNNNNNNNNNNNNNNNNNNNNNNNNNNNUUUCAUGUAUGAAAGUCACACCUGUGUGAACUUGGGCUGUGUCUGACUGGUAGGCCCAGGCCCCGGCCCCGGCUCUGGCCCCGGCCCCAGGGCCACUGCCUGCUCGUGCUCUGCCUCAUCCAGCUCCAUGGGGUCCCACUCUUCGUCGUCCCAGUCCUCCGACUCCAGCAUGUCUUUGAGGUCCAUGAAGGCAACCUUGAAGCAAGUGAAGCAGACCUCCAGGGGGCUUCCGUGCUUCAGCUCAUACAGCCAGGAAGCGUACAGGUAGGUCAUGCCCUCUCUGCUCUUGCGCACGGCCACCGGGGGGCACAUGGCCACGCUGCUGCCUCUCGGGGUGAGGGGCAAGGGGGAGCUCGCUGCGGACUGGGAGGACCGGCGCCCGGCUGCUAGUGAGGCGCUGGGUGGGGCGGGGGAGGAAGAAGGCAGGAGCAGGAAGGUGUUUCUUGCCCGGAGACCUGGAGGUAGAACCUGCCGAGGUUGGAAGCUUGAGCUUCUGGAAACUUCUCCAGCUGAGCACCGCUCCGACCUGGGAAGGCAAAGGAAGCGGGGUCAGGCGCCCCCUGGUGGGCAGGCUGCUGGGGUUUCCGCGUGGAGGGGUGUGGGGGUUCCGGCUAGUUGGCUGGGCCUCACUCGGCUUGAGCCACGCGUGUCAGGGGUCCACUGGUGAACCCCCAACCUCGCCAAUCACCCUGACGCUCUCAGCUCCUAAACUCGUCAGUCCUGCUUGUGGAGCUCGGGACCUGGAAGAGGCAGCAAGAAUCCUCCCUGGCCCAAGUGGUCCACGAGGACCGAGGGACCGGUCCCCUCAGGCCCCGGCUCGGCCCGGCCCCAGGCCACCCACUCCUCCCAGUGCCCCUCACCUUCCAAGCCUCGAGCCUCGAGCCUCAGCGCCUAGGACCGGCGAAGUGGGCCCGCCCACUUCGGCUUUAAAGGACUCCCAUGGUACCUUGGGGGUAUUUGCAUAUCUCCCAUGAGCCCUGGCUCCAGGAAGAGGAAGUGGUGAGUCAGGCUGGUGCCUGCCGCGUGCAGCGGGUAGCGCUAUGGCGCCCCUGGAGGCCGGGCCGCUCCUCUGCCCCUUUUCCGUAUGCUUCCUGGUCGUUCCUCCAGGGACCCCUCCAGAUACGAUGCGCAGAUCCCCGUUGUCUCCGGCAUUUUGAAAUUGCGUGCCUUCUCCCUA
ensembl:lincRNA